GUGCCAGCCGCCGCGGUAAUACGGAGGGUGCAAGCGUUGUCCGGAUUUAUUGGGUUUAAAGGGUGCGUAGGCGGCCCAUUAAGUCAGUGGUGAAAUCCAACAGCUCAACUGUUGAACUGCCAUUGAUACUGGUGGGCUUGAGUAAAGUCGAGGCAGGCGGAACUGGUGGUGUAGCGGUGAAAUGCAUAGAUACCACCAAGAACCCCGAUUGCGAAGGCAGCUUGCUGGGCUUUAACUGACGCUGAGGCACGAAAGCGUGGGGAGCGAACAGGAUUAGAUACCCGGGUAGUCC
rnacentral:rRNA from 1 species